UACGUAGGGUGCAAGCGUUUGUCCGGAAUUAUUGGGCGUAAAGAGCUCGUAGGCGGUCUGUCGCGUCUGCUGUGAAAACCCGAGGCUCAACCUCGGGCCUGCAGUGGGUACGGGCAGACUAGAGUGCGGUAGGGGAGAAUGGAAUUCCUGGUGUAGCGGUGGAAUGCGCAGAUAUCAGGAGGAACACCGAUGGCGAAGGCAGUUCUCUGGGCCGUAACUGACGCUGAGGAGCGAAAAGCGUGGGGGAGCGAACAGG
rnacentral:rRNA from 1 species